rnacentral:lncRNA from 1 species
ACAGGGUUUAGUUACUCAUGACAGAGAUAGAAAAGAUAGAGAUUAGAGAAGAAUUACAAGAAAGAUUCAUGAAUGAUUCUUGAUAAAACUUCUUCAAUGGUGUUAGAAACGACCGUCUUUGAGUUUCUCUGCUAGGGCACAAGUCUCUCAACUUCUCAAUAGUCAAAAAGAUCCCUAGAAGUGAAGAAAAAAUGCAUUUUAAGGAAUGUUGUCGCGUGCCACGCGUCCCAG